AUCCAGCUGACGAGUCCCAAAUAGAACGAAACGGGCGUCAAACUGGAU
rfam:Schistosoma mansoni strain Puerto Rico chromosome W, complete genome